AACUAUGUCAAAAAAUUAUCUCUUGCAGAGUAUAAAACGGUCAAAAUAUAUAUAAUGCUAGGGCACUAUAAUGUCAGAAUAAAUAAUAAUAUUGCAAAGUCAAAUUAAAAUAAAAUUCCCAAUGAAAUGUGAAGAAUACUGGCAGCAACAACGAUUCUGACAUUUGCACCAGUAAUGCAGUCGGUAGUCUGAAUUCGAACGGUACCUUAAUGCAGCUGCAGUUGCUAUCACUAUAGUCACGCUCGAUUUUGGGUUAGAUAAGGUUAGCGUAUCCUAAACUAUGACCAAUUUAGUAAUCACACUAAAUUGACGAAUUAAAAAAGCAAUAAUUCGGUCUGAAGUAUUUUAACCAAUUAACUCGCCACGAUAAUCAGUCAGUUUUCGCAUAGACAAGUGUUAACACUGAUGAAGACAUCUUUAUGAAGGAAAAGAUGCCACGACUUAUAUGGAAGCAACUCCUUAUUGUAUCAUUUCUAUUUAUCAUCGGUGAUUGCGCGCCACCGUCUCAAAAAUUAACUGAGAUCAAGAAAAAAACGCUUUCCUUGCUGGAUUUACUUUCGGUAAGAGAAGACCCGUGGGAGCAACUGAAGCCACGUACCGCCAUACAUGUUUUUAGGGCAUUAUUUUUCCCUGAAUCACUACAGCAAAGUACCGAAAAAUACCGCUCACCUCUAAAGUUAAAAAACAAUUUAAAAAUAAACUCAAAGCCACUGUCGAAUUUUUUGCAAAACUUGAAAAAUGUACAAAAGUUGUUAAAUACAAAUAAAAAAUCAAUAUACUUACAAAACCUAAGUCCUGCAGGAACAUAUCAAGGAAACAACUUGGAGACUGAACGAAAUGUGGCCUUUGAAAAGUUGCUAAAUACUAACCAUAAGAAUAAAAAAUCAAUAUACUUACAAAACCUAAGUCCUGUAGGAAAAUAUCAAGGAAACAACUUGGAAACUGAACGAAAUGUCGCCUUAGAAAAGUUGCUAAAUACCUACCAUAUGAAUGAAGAGAAAUAUACACCACACAACUUGGAAACUGAACGAAAUGUGACCUUAGAAAAGUCACUAAAUCACUACCCAAAGAAUAAUGAAUCAUUAUACUUAUAUAACCUAAGUCCUGUAGGAAAUAUUACAGCAAACAAAAUACAAAACAUUUUAAGUUUAUUAAAAAAGUCAAACCAAGAAAUAAUUUCAAAGGACCAAAAGAAAUAUUCAUUUCCAGUUCUGCCAGAAGUCAGAUCCAAAGAAAACACAUUACAUGAUACAUGGAAUAGAAUUCGAUCAAAGUUUCUGGAGAAAUUGUUUUCACUGCAUACUAUUGGCACAAAAGCCAUCGUCCGCGCAGGACGUUGUAGCACCAGAAGAAAAGAUAAGAAUGGAGCCAAUACCGAAUGCUGUAUAUAUCCCUGCUACUAUUAUCCAACAUAUUACUACCCGUAUUACUAUAAUACAACAUAUGGCUACCCGUAUUACUAUAAUACAACAUAUUACUAUCCGUAUUACUAUCCAUAUUACUAUCCAUAUUACUAUCCAUAUUACUGGGGACGUCGUUGAAUUAUGAAUUUUACAGUACAGUACACCAUAUCGGUGCUACUUUAUUCCUAUUUCCUACUAUUCGCGCUUGUAUCGUAAUGUACUUUUAUGAUUUAUGAAUUAUGAAUUUAUCAAAUA